GACAGAGGAUGCAAGCGUUAAUCGGAAUUACUGGGCGUAAAGCGCACGUAGGUGGUUUGCUAAGUCAGCUGUGAAAUCCCCGGGCUCAACCUGGGCACUGCAGUUGAAACUGGCAAGCUAGAGUAGGGUAGAGGGGUGUGGAAUUCCAGGUGUAGCGGUGAAAUGCGUAGAUAUCUGGAGGAACAUCAGUGGCGAAGGCGACACCCUGGACUCAUACUGACACUGAGGUGCGAAAGCGUGGGGAGCAAACAGG
rnacentral:rRNA from 1 species